rnacentral:rRNA from 1 species
ACGAACGCUGGCGGCGUGCUUAACACAUGCCAGUCGAACGAUGAGGAAGAGAAACGCGAACUUCGGUUCAAAUUUCACUUCGGAUUGUGGCCGAACGGGGAGGAAACGGGUAACAAACCAACCUCUUACAAGGGGAAAGCUUCGGGAAACGGGAAUAAAUCCCAAAUAAACAAUUAUUAAGCAAUCUAAAAAAGGUUAAACCUAGGGCGGUAAGAGAUGGGCUCGCGUCCCAUUAGCUAGUUGGUGAGGUAACGGCCCACCAAGGCGACGAUGGGUAACCGGCCUGAGAGGGUGAACGGUCACAUUGGAACUGAGACACGGUCCAAACUCCUACGGGAGGCGGCAGUGGGGAAUAUUGCACAAUGGAGGGAACUCUGAUGCAGCGACGCCGCGUGAGCGAUGAAGGAAUUCGUUUCGUAAAGCUCUGUUCUAUGGGAAGAAAAGGACUGUACCAUAGGAGAAAGCCCCGGCUAAAUACGUG